UGCCAUUAUAUAUCAAAACAAGAAUCAGUCCAACUCCAUGGCAAUCACUUGAAAUUUUAUUUGAAGAUCUCUUAAGUCAUUCUCAAAUUUUAGUUCCCUUUACAACGUUGGCCAAUUUUUACAAGAUAAAUAUCUGACAUAUUCAAAUUCAGAUAUCAUAACCUUACUCGAAUUCUGCUAAACCAAAACUCAUUCGUAGUGGUAUCAAUUUUCAACCAUGCACACAGAAGAAGAUGAAUCUUUUAACACCUUAUUUCUAAUCUUCCAAAUGCAGCAAAAAUAUGUUAAAUUUGAAUCAGUUAGUUUCCAAUUCAUAUUAUCACAUUUUCUUACUAAUUCUAUGAAUUCUCAAAAUAUAAUCUGCCACUGGCUUCAUAAAAUUUGGAGCUUAGCUCAUAGAGCCCCGUUUUCUCUCCUGCUACAAUUAUACAAGCAGAGCCAAAAACUUUUUAAGACUGCCAGAAAUCUUUCCCAAAACCUGAUGCACAGUCACAAGGCUUAUUAGAGACAUAUCUUACAUGCUCUUAUAAUUUUCUGAACCUGUUACUACCUCUCUCUUUAAGAGAAGAUGAGGAUGAGGACGAAGAAAACACAGAGUGCUCGGCCUUGUCCUUGUUAAAAGCCCUAUGAACAUCCUCUUUGAGCUCCAUGAAGCGCAUCCUUUUGAUUCUCUGUUCAUCUGGGGUGCCCUUUUCAAGAAAAAACAGAUCAGGAAGGUCGUCUUCCAUGAAUUUGUCAAGCACUUCGGAGCAAUUAGGGAAAUACCGUCUGCCCAUUUCCACUGCAAUUAUCAAAACCACAAAAUUUAUAUGAGAACAAUAAUAAAAACUGGAGCUUGUAAUUCCAGAUUCCACAUAUGAUAAUAUAAUUCAUUAGGCAGUUCAAUAUUUGCCAGCAUAUUUAAUUUUCAGAAUUGAUGCUCUAAUGAUUCAUUCUAACAUCCUCUACUUGUUUUGAUUUCCUUAAAUCCUUUAUUCAUUUAGACAAUUAUUUUAAAUAGAGAGGGAUAUAUUUACAACGUACAAUUAGUGCAAUACAUGGUUUGGCAACUAUUUGCAUAAAUUGAUAUUUUAUUAAACAACCGUUGUAUUUAAUCGUUCAUUCAUGUAGACCACAUGGUAAACUUCAAUUCACUUGCAUAUCUACAAAGUAUUGACCCAGAUAUAACUAUUCAAAACUAAAAUUUCUCUAUAAUAUAAUUAUAACUUCAACUGUCAUAAAACAGAUGGGAUCUUCUUCAAUAUUUGAUCAACUUAAAUUUUAGUGAGCAUGGUUCACCUCAACAGAGAACUAUUCCAAUAGAUGAUAUAUCAAAGAUUGAAUCACAUAAAGUUGCAGAACUAGGUAAAAAUUUAUGCAAGUUACACAUUUGAAAGUGAACCCCAUUCCAUUUAAAGAAACAAGACUAUAAAUUUGCCUAAGAUGAAAAAUGCCUGGGAAAAAAAGAAAAGUUGACUAGUAUCUAAACCAGAGCUUGGUGUUUUUUUGGCUUUCUAAAACUUAAAAGUCAGAGCAAAACUGAACAUUCAAUUGAAAAACAGUACGAGCAUAAACAACCCUACAUGACCAACAUCAUUCUUCCACUGUGACAAUAAUAUGGAAUAUUGCAAUAAUUUGGAAUAUUGCAUAAUCACCACAUGCCUGAGGCAAAGGCAAUGAAGGAGAUGGGAGGUGAUGUGUGUGUUGAUAUUUCUCGAGGUAAAAUUUAAUGAAAUUAUUUCAUUUUUUUUUCCCUUAAAUUUAUGAAGGAUGGAGGGAGCUGAACCUUUUACAUCCAAUGCUACAAGGUGGCCAUUUGGCCAUUGAGUUGUUAGCCUAAAGGAAAGAUUGUUCUCGUAUUUUUUCCUUUUCAUCCCUUUUUCUACCUUGAAAAUUAUAUAAGAAAAGCAUCAAGUUAUCAGUGAUUAGAUUCAUUCUUCUUGUUGCUAACCUAAAGGCAAGAUUGUUUUCAAUUCUUUUUCGUUUCAUCCAAUUUUUUUUUUACAUUGAAAAUUAAAUUAGAAAAGCAUCAAGUUAUCAGUAAUUAGUUUCGUUCAACUUGUUUCCUAAAAAGCCUUGAAACAGGUAACCUAGGUGCAAAGGUCAAGUAAUUUAUCAACCAAACCUAAAGAGCAAGAACAUAGGGCAACUCAUGCUUCACAAAUUAUAAACGUACACUCAUCAAAUUGCAGUAAUUUGACAAAAUGGCUUUAUUGCAGAAAAUAAAAAUAACAGGCAAACAGUACACUAUCAUAUCCAAAAAAGAAAAAGCAAGAAAGGGAAAAGUAGAUUAUUGUAUGCAAAUGCAACAGAUUUAAAGCAUGGAUUUACCUGUUUUAUUAAGUUCUUCCAACCUAGAAAGAAGUCUUUUCUUCUGUAUUAUCGGUGUCUCAUUUAAGUCAACCUCCCUGAAAUUGCCAGUCAUACCUUUUGAUGCAGAAGGGCCAGGAUACUCAGAUGUUUUCUUGGCAUUCGCAAUGUGCAUGGCUACCUUGGCUUCACUAGGGAAGAAUAAGCGUGCAAAUGCCACUGUGAUGCACAACAAGGUUUUUAUAUAUUCAAGCAUAUGAGUGAUAAAGACCCAUUUCACUUUAUCAAAAUAAAAAAUAAACAGAAGAAACUUCAUAUCUGGUAUUAGACCAACUUUAUAGAUGUGAUCUCUGUAGUUUAGCUUUAAAAGCAUCAAAUACUAAUGAGACAAACCCAAUUGUCAGCAAGUAUAGUGGGUAAGUUGUUAGACUGGAAAUGGAAAGAAUGCUCUCAGAUUUGGAGUUGUAACACCAGACAGAAUCAUUGGCAGUAUCUUACAAGCCCAAUUGCCAAAAUAAGCAAGCAAAAACUCAUAAGAGCAAAAAAGAUGUGCCAAGCUGGAAAAACCAUGAGACUACAUAUUCAUUUACAUGGCUGCCUCCCAUUAUUUAGAACUCUUAUUAUGUUGCUCAUUAUCAUUUUCAAUCUUCCCAACAUGGAAGAAAAAGCAAUUAAGAACUAUUUCAACAUAUUGAUUUGCUUUACAGAUGCAGACCAAUAGUAUCGAGGGAAUCAGUUCAGAUUACAGUACAAAAUAAAAAUAUUGGCAAACAGACAAGUCAUCGACAUUUUAGCAAUGUUGUCAUUACUCUCAUGGAUGAGAAGUAGAUUAAGAAAAAACCCAAAGCUUCAUUUUUGGCAAAUCAUAGUUGAAAUUAUUAGGGAAAAAAAAAAGGAAGGAGAUCAACAGGAAUGAGAUCAUCAAGAUUAACAAACAAAAAAUAUAAAAACACCCUCUAAAAAGAAAACAGUAAAUUUUAACCCACUGGAAUCCAAAAGCUAAAAAAUGUCCUAUUUGAGGAAAAAAUAAAUAAAUAAAGAGGCGAACUGUAUAUCAUGUUCAGCAAACAGACUGAUGAUUCAAAUUCAAGAGUAUCAUGUGCAGCAUAAUACCUCUGUUCUCCAGGUACAGAAGCUUCAUGUGCAGAUCAUCAGACAUUGUUUGGGAAGUCAUUGAAGCAUCUCCAGCCAUGGGGUUCCUCCGCAUUUCCCUCUCUAAAACAUCAAUGCAUAGGCGGUCUUUAUUUGCUUCCUGCCCCUGCUCUGUUUUAGCAUCAUAAUCUUUUGGCCUAGUCAACCUUCGACAGAUGCUAACAGCACUUCGCCCAUCCAAUGUUGAGUCUAAAGCACUAGCCCCUUUUGCCAAGAGAGACACUAUCACUGCCGGUUCUCUUCGCAUUGCCGCGAUGUGAAGAACUGUGUAACCCUGUGAAUUCUUAAGGUUGACAUUAGCAAGAUCAAGGCCAAGCACCUCAGACACAACCUUGGGGUCACAGUAUGCAGCAGCAUAAUGAAGAGCAUUAGCAUCAUCCAGUGUUACAUCGGAUUCUGUCAGGAGAAGUUUUACAAGCUCAACAUCAUCCGAGUCUAAUGCCUUAUGUAUUCUCCUAAUUCUCUUUUCAUGCAAGGGGUCCACAGCCUCAGCAUUCUCUUCAUCAUCAGACACUGGCCUUUUGCGAAACAAUUUAAUGUUCUCUGAAACUUCAUAGGGAAGCUCCUUCUCUAUU
rnacentral:misc_RNA from 1 species